AUUGAACGCUGGCGGCAGGCCUAACACAUGCAAGUCGAACGGUAACAGGAAGAAGCUUGCUUCUUUGCUGACGAGUGGCGGACGGGUGAGUAAUGUCUGGGAAACUGCCUGAUGGAGGGGGAUAACUACUGGAAACGGUAGCUAAUACCGCAUAACGUCGCAAGACCAAAGAGGGGGACCUUCGGGCCUCUUGCCAUCGGAUGUGCCCAGAUGGGAUUAGCUAGUAGGUGGGGUAACGGCUCACCUAGUCGACGAUCCCUAGCUGGUCUGAGAGGAUGACCAGCCACACUGGAACUGAGACACGGUCCAGACUCCUACGGGAGGCAGCAGUGGGGAAUAUUGCACAAUGGGCGCAAGCCUGAUGCAGCCAUGCCGCGUGUAUGAAGAAGGCCUUCGGGUUGUAAAGUACUUUCAGCGGGGAGGAAGGGAGUAAAGUUAAGACCUUUGCUCAUUGACGUUACCCGCAGAAGAAGCACCGGCUAACUCCGU
rnacentral:rRNA from 1 species